GCCUUUGUAGCUCAGUCGGUAGAGCAAGGGACUGAAAAUCCCUGUGUCGACGGUUCGAUUCCGUCCGAAGGCACCA
rnacentral:tRNA from 1 species